rnacentral:rRNA from 1 species
UACAGAGGUCUCAAGCGUUGUUGGAUUCAUUGGGCGUAAAGGGUGCGUAGGUGGCGCUGUAAGUCAGGUGUGAAAUUUCGGAGCUCAACUUCGAAACUGCAUUUGAUACUGCGGUGCUUGAGGACUGGAGAGGAGACUGGAAUUUACGGUGUAGCAGUGAAAUGCGUAGAGAUCGUAAGGAAGACCAGUGGCGAAGGCGGGUCUCUGGACAGUUCCUGACACUGAGGCACGAAGGCCAGGGGAGCAAACGGG